GAUGAACGCUGGCGGCGUGCCUAAUACAUGCAAGUCGAGCGAACAGACGAGGAGCUUGCUCCUCUGACGUUAGCGGCGGACGGGUGAGUAACACGUGGAUAACCUACCUAUAAGACUGGGAUAACUUCGGGAAACCGGAGCUAAUACCGGAUAAUAUAUUGAACCGCAUGGUUCAAUAGUGAAAGACGGUUUUGCUGUCACUUAUAGAUGGAUCCGCGCCGCAUUAGCUAGUUGGUAAGGUAACGGCUUACCAAGGCGACGAUGCGUAGCCGACCUGAGAGGGUGAUCGGGCAAACGGGAACUGAGACACGGUCCAGACUCCGACGGGAGGCAGCAGUAGGGAAUCUUCCGCAAUGGGCGAAAGCCUGACGGAGCAACGCCGCGUGAGUGAUGAAGGUCUUCGGAUCGUAAAACUCUGUUAUUAGGGAAGAACAAAUGUGUAAGUAACUAUGCACGUCUUGACGGUACCUAAUCAGAAAGCCACGGCUAACUACGUG
rnacentral:rRNA from 1 species